AGCUGCUGAGACUUCAGGAGGCUGGUGAUUGCUGAACUUUGCUCUCUCUGGGAAGAGUCCUGCCCGAUCUCUCUAAAGGAAACAGGCAGUUACCAUGGAGCAUCACUGGGGCCUAAUCACUGGCAACAAGGAGAAAGUACCACUGAAGAGCAUCUCAGUCACCUUGUCCAUCAAUGACUUUGUGGCUGCUGUGGCUGCAACCCUACAUUAUGAGAAUGAGGAGAAAGUCCCAAUAGAGGCAAUGUUUGUGUUUCCUAUGGAUGAAGACUCUGCUGUCUACAGCUUUGAAGCCUUGGUGGAUGGGAAGAAAAUCGUGGCAGAGUUGCAGGAUAAGACGAAGGCGCACAGCAAGUAUGAGGAGGCACUCUCCCAGGGCCACCAAGCAUACUUAUUGGAAGAGGAUGAUUAUUCCAGGGAUGUCUUUUCUUGCAAUGUGGGGAACCUGCAGCCUGGAACUAAGGUUGCAGUUACCUUGAGGUAUGUGCAGGAACUGCCAUUGGAAUCAGAUGGGGCCCUGCGCUACCUGCUCCCAGCAGUCUUGAAUCCAAGAUAUCAGCUUUCUGAACAGUCAGCGAGCAGUUGCUUGAAUGUACAGAAGCCCAUUGUCCCUUUGGAGGCCCUGCCUUACACACUCAGCAUGGUUGCCACCAUCACUUCCCAGCAUGGUAUUGAGAGGGUCCAAUCCAACUGCUCCUUGAGCCCUAUUCAGUACCUUACAGAUGACAAGACUUCUGCUCAGGUUUCCUUGACUGAAGGGCAUAAGUUUGACCGGGAUGUGGAACUCCUGAUUUACUACCGUGAAGUGCACAGCCCCAGUGUAGCUGUGGAGAAGGGAAUGCAGGACAAGAAGCGAGAUAGUUUGAUGGGAGCUCCUUGUGCAAUGGUGAGCUUCUACCCAGACAUCCCAGAAGUGAACGCCUCAAAGGUCUGUGGAGAAUUUGUGUUUCUAAUGGACCGCUCAGGAAGUAUGCAAACCCCCAUGAGAACAGAGGAAAAUUCUCAGCUACGCAUAGAGGCUGCCAAGGAAACUCUGCUGUUGUUGCUGAAGAGUUUGCCUAUGGGUUGUUAUUUUAACAUCUAUGGAUUUGGAUCUUCCUAUGAACAAUUCUUCCCGGAGAGUGUGAAGUACACUCAGGAAACAAUUGAGGAAGCAGUGGAACGAGUGAAGCGUUUAGAUGCCGAUUUAGGGGGUACUGAAAUCUUGACACCCCUCCGCAACAUUUACAAGACAUCCUCCAUUCCUGGACAUCCCCUACAGCUCUUUGUCUUCACAGACGGAGAAGUGAGUGACACAUAUAGUGUCAUCAGAGAAGUUAAGUUAAACAGCAAGAAACACAGAUGUUUCUCAUUUGGUAUUGGACAAGGAGCCUCCACCAGCUUAAUCAAAAACAUCGCCCGGGUAUCAGGGGGCACUGCAGAGUUUAUCACAGGCAAGGACAGGAUGCAGGCUAAGGCUCUUGGGUCUCUCAAGCUUGCGCUACAGUGUGCAUUGGAUGAUAUCUCCCUGAGUUGGGAAUUGCCUCCUGGUCUGUCUGUUAACAUGCUCUCUCCAGAGCAGCCUACCAUCUUUAGGGGUCAGAGGUUAAUCAUCUAUGCCCAACUGACUGGGCCUAUGCCUCAAGCGGAGAGCAGAGGAGCAGUGUGCCUCAAGCACACCCUCCAGGGCAAGAGUCUGGAAAACAAGGUGGCAUUUUCCCUACAACCCAAGGAAAAUGCCAAUUUUACCAUUCAUCGGUUGGCGGCAAAGUUCUUGAUUCAGACCAAGGAUUUGGGAUCCCAUGAAGUCUCAAAAGAAGAGAAAAAGGAUGUGAUGAACAUCAGCCUUCAGUCUGGAGUUCUCAGCUCCUUCACAGCCUUUGUUGCCAUAAACAAAGAGCUUAACAAGCCAGUGCAGGGCCCUCUGGCCCACAGAGUCAUUCCUAGGCCAAUGAUAGCUACAUCUACAUCUAUGUUUAUGAGGUCAUGCAGUCGUCUCACAGGUCCCUUUAAAAACUCACGCCUAAAACGUAGAUUAUGUGCAGCAGACUAUGUUCCAUAUGGACAUGAAAGCACUGUGUAUUCUAGCAUGCCAAGUCCAGCACCCAUAGAAAAUCAGGGAGUGGCAGAUUCUUCGAACGAGAAAAGCAACUCGCAAAAUGAACACAAAGCAUUUGGGGAGAAUGUUGUGUUGCAGCUGAUUUUUCUGCAAAAUGCAAAUGGCUCCUGGAAGCUGGAUGAAAAUCUGACCAAGAUCCUGGGCACUACAUUGGAAGACACCAAGGCUGCCAACCCUUCUCAGCAUGGGGACCCCUCAGCCUGGGCCACAAUCCUGGCUGUGCUCUGGCUCCAUGCCAAUGGCCAGGACUUAAAGUGUGAGUGGGAGCUUCUGGAACGGAAGGCUGUGGCCUGGCUUCAUGAUCAUGCAGGUAGGGGCACAACCCCUCCGCCCUUUCCUUCUUUCCAUUUGCAUCCCAGGGAGCCAUGCCUCUAUGUGUUGCAGCGCACUCAAGAGUCCCUAUGGCUGUCCCAACUAUGCUGUCUCAGAACAUUGUCCCUCCAGCUAAUCCUUCAUUUUCAGGAUUAGGCAAAGAAUGUGCUUGGUAGUUGGGACAAGCUGAGCAAAGGGAAGGAGCACAAGUGGGGAUACUUAGCUGACUAAGAGUGUCCCCAGACAUGUAGGAAGGGUCGUGGAUAUUUAGUGUGUCCUCAUUGCUGUGUUCCUGUGGACAGAAGUGACUAAAGAAGAAUGAGAAGAAGAAAGUGGAAGAUCCAGGGAUACUGCAGGAAACUAAAUCAAGGUUGAAGGGGGAUGCUAGGAAUGAUUAAGGAAGGCUGAGGAAAGAGUCUCCCUCCCCUCUGCCACAGCUCUGACUCUUAUUUCCUCUCCUCACAGGCUCUUCUAUCCCCAUGCUCGUUCAAGCUGCCAAUAGUCUCCUGAAAUUAUCUGUGAAUCCUGCUGUCUUUGAUGUCUAAAGGUGUCACCCAUGAAAGGAGAGCCUUUCCUGGCUACCCCUGUGUCCCUCACUUCUCCUCAGCUGAGAUAGCUUUGGGGUUCUAUCCUUCCCUUUUCUUUCUUGUCAUAACAAGGACAUACUGACAGCCUUGGUGAUCAUUCCUAGUACCUUUGUAUCUGAUUUUCUACCCCUAUCAUUUCUUCUGUGAGAAGUUAGCAUGGUCUCCCAACAUGUUUUCUUCCUUGAGACUUUUAUUCAUGUGCAGAAUGACACAUGAAGUUUUCCAAGCCAAUUAUGAUAUAACGGUUGGCAUAAGAUCUAGAGUAAGCAUGCAGUGUUGACCAUGGGUAAUGCUUGAGUUAAUAACCUGCAUUACUGUUAUUGCCUCUCUAUGCAGAGCCAUGUAGUAUGGUCAACAAAUGGCUUUAAACUCGUGGGAUCGGCCUACCAGUUAGCACAGCCACGAUGGAUGCUCCUCAGUUGAGUCAUUCGCUAGAAGGAAAAGAGAAUGUAAUCCAAUUGUAAUUUUAUACUGCUUAAAAGAUUUUGCUGGAAUAUAUAAGAGAUGGGAAAAAAUAAAAUCAUUGAACCUCUGCUUCUUCCAUCUCCAAAUAUGUCAACUGUUGCUGGUCUUGUCUGCAUUGUGGCUUCCCUGCAAGCACUGAAGAUAUUUUCUUCUGUAUUGAUCCCCACCACUUUGAGGAAUGUACAAUGGGUGAAGUCCAAUUUCCAAAGUCUGUAUGGCCUCUUUGAAGACAAGGAUUAGUGAUUUCUGAGUUUCAGGCUAGUUUGAAGGUAUCUGAUCAUUCUCUGUAAUUUAGCUACCAUAUUGGAAAUUUCCAAAAUAUUGGUUGUGAUAGUGGUCACAUUGGCUUUGGCCUCCAUGUGUGAUUACUGAAAUAUAGAAUGUCAAGUACACCAGACUUGAAGAAUAAACAGUAUAAAAUAACACUUAGAUGAAGGUCAGUCAGUAAGGACUGAGUUUUAAAUAAUCCUUGAGUCUGUCAAAACUUAAUUUCCUAAUUGGAAACUCGAUGGAAAGAAUACACAAUUAUUUUGAUUAAAUAUAAAAUCUUUGCUCUUUAGGCAGGUUUUUAAAAACAUAAAUCAUUUCUAAGUUUUAACUUCCAUAAACAUCUCAUGAUAUUUUUUAACUUUUGGUUGUGUCUCAAUCUCCAUUUUGGAACAAUAUUUUGCAUCAGAAAAAAAUCUGUGUAAAAUCCUUUUAAAAUAUAAAGUAAUGACCUUUCGUCUUUAAAUGUAUAUUUAGAUCAUUUUGAAAUGAUGAAAUGAAUGAUGUAAUUGAGUCUUAACAAUACAAAAGACAACAAGUGGAGGGACACUUUAAUAUAAGAAUUAAAGUGUUCCCUGCUCUACAAAUAGUCUUGCAGGAAUAUAUUCCCCACUUUGUAACAUCUCUUUGCAACGAAACCAUAACCAUAAUUCUACAAUUUAAAGAUGAAUAGAGGUGACAAACUAAUAGCUCUCUCAAAGCUAUCUCUGAACUCUAGGCUGUGCCUAAGAGAACUUUAAGAAUGCUUUAAGUUCCUCAUCCAGGACGAGAGUGUUCUGGUCUUGAUUGCAUAUGCCCCACAAGAUAUGAUUCUUCAUAAGUAAACAAGGAAAGUCUUUUUACCUUUAGCACACCGCUCUAGUAAUAAAAGGAAACAUGAGUUCCAAUUAUUCCACUAGGAUAAACAAAACCGUUUCCAGGACUACAGAUUUGAGUAUUUAAACUUCUGCCAGGGUCUCACUGUCAACCCCUGCCCCUUACAUACUAACAUGUAACACACUUGGAACUCUCUGAUCCUUAAGGAAUGAAUUUUCCUGAAAUCAAUUGAGCAACCUAAUGAGCCUAUGGAAUCACAGAACACCAUGGUAUCUGAUAAUAAAUGAAACACAGCAACUUUGAUGGUCUCUGCUUAUCAAAGGAAGGGUAUGGAGGGCUCACUUGAAUUGGAGGUGUUCAGAUAUGAGUAGUAUUUGUUAAAACCAACAUCUCUCAGACAUCUCUGUGCAAAACAACUCUUUCUGCAUAUAAACGAUCAAGGAUUAUGUUAAUAGAUUUAGGAAAAUCUAAUAAUACCUUAAUGAUUGGAUAUAAUAUUGACCUUUUAAAUGAUGGAUACAGACUUUUGCUUGUUUUCUCUGAUUUAUACUCAGGCAUCCCUGUUUAUUUGCAUGUAUAAAGAAUGUUGGUGCCUCUGUAAUUGAAGUUGUCUUUAUGAUAUGUGGAAGAAUCCAAUUAGUUCUUUUUAUAAAAUGAAUACAUUUGGGUUUUGGAUAUUUGUUAUUAAUUUUGCCCAACUAAUUUUCCCAAGAACUUUGCUAAUCCUUAUUAAUCAUCCGUAAUGACGUAGUUUCAGUAUUUGUAAGGGGUACUACAAUUUCAGCUGCAUAUAUUCCUGACAGUUAACACAAGAUUGUGAGGGGAGUUCAGAAGUCUCAUAAUAUUUAAUGUUUAGUUCAUGUCCAACCAUUGUUAAUACUCUCCGGCCCACAUUUUCACUGCUCCAGGGCAUAGCCUGUAGCUGUUCAGACAGUCACAAAAAUUUUUAAAGUAUGGUGCCUUGCUUCUUUUAUAAAGAGCUCAGACAGAUAGCAUUUAAUGAGUGACUGUGUGCUUAACAUGAGAAUGAAAAAAUGAAGAACUCUGGGUGAUAACAAUGGGAACCUACUGGGAAAACUAAGAAGUACCGAGAAUAGAGUAGGUCAGCAUUCAUGCAGUAGCCAAGGAUGAAAGGAAACAAACAGUAUAUCAUAGAUUUUUCUAAGUCCAAGAGUGGAUUUCACACAGGAGGGAUUGACUAUAAUAUUCUGAGUUUAUUUGUUAACUUAUUUUAAGUGAAAAAUGGCUAAGGAGUAUGUUCUAGGGAGACGCACAUAUUUCUGCAUCUUGGACACGUAGCAGGGCAAUGUUUGAGACUCAUAUUGUUUAAGUGCAUGCCAUUCGGAAGGUAAUGUAUUUGCAGGAAAAUAAAAUUAGUUAUACCUUCUCA